rnacentral:rRNA from 1 species
AUUGAACGCUGGCGGCAGGCCUAACACAUGCAAGUCGAACGAGUGGCGGACGGGUGAGUAAUGUCUGGGAAACUGCCUGACGGAGGGGGCUAAAUACUGGAAACGGUAGCUAAUACCGCAUACCAUCAGAUCUGCCCAGAUGGGAGUAGCUAGUUGGUGGGGUAACGGCGCACAAAGGCGACGAUCCCUAGCUGGUCUGAGAGGAUGACCAGCCACACUGGGACUGAGACACGGUCCAGACUCAUACGGGAGGCAGCAGUGGGGAAUAUUGCACAAUGGGCGAAAGCCUGAUGCAGCCAUGCCGCGUGUAUGAAGAAGGCCUUCGGGUUGUAAAGUACUUUUAGCGGGGAGGCGUUACCCGCAGAAGAAGCACCGGCUAACUCCGUGCCAGCAGCCGCGGUAAUUC